AUUGAACGCUGGCGGCAGGCUUAACACAUGCAAGUCGAACGGGCACCUUCGGGUGUCAGUGGCAGACGGGUGAGUAACGCGUGGGAACGUACCCUUCGGUUCGGAAUAACCCAGGGAAACUUGGGCUAACACCGGAUACGUCCGCAAGGAGAAAGAUUUAUCGCCGAAGGAUCGGCCCGCGUCGGAUUAGCUAGUUGGUGGGGUAAUGGCCCACCAAGGCGACGAUCCGUAGCUGGUUUGAGAGGAUGAUCAGCCACACUGGGACUGAGACACGGCCCAGACUCCUACGGGAGGCAGCAGUGGGGAAUAUUGGACAAUGGGCGAAAGCCUGAUCCAGCCAUGCCGCGUGAGUGAAGAAGGCCUUAAGGGUUGUAAAGCUACUUUCAGCGGGAAGAU
rnacentral:rRNA from 1 species